GGGGGCGAAACGGCUUCGACGGGGAUAAAGAAGCACAGGUUGCAUACCAAGCUCCUGCCGGCUUGUAAAAAAGGUGGGAAACUAAACAUAAUCGCAGAUGAUUAUAAUUACGCUCUAGCCGCUUAAGGCUAGCGUCCUGCCGAACCAUUCCUGCUAAUUCGGUAAGGGCGUCGACUAGCAGGAUAGCUGAUCCCGAAUUCCUGUUAACGGAUCGGCGAAUAUUCUUACAGGAUAGUCUUUUAAGCAUCCUGCCUGGAGGAGACUAAAAAGGCGAAAGCGAAAGUUCAGGCUAUGUAUGUAGAUGCUUAUGCGGAAUGUUUUCGGACGCGGGUUCGACUCCCGCCGCCUCCACCA
rnacentral:tmRNA from 1 species